AGGGAAGGGUCGGAAUGUCGGGGUAGACAGCAUAAUAGUUAUGCAAAGAGACUCCUGCCCAAGUCUCUGAGCUCCCAGGGUCAAUCCCCUACAUCAUCAUCGGCCAGGGCUGAGCAGCGUUCUGGGAAAAAAGAGAGGCAGACACACAGACACACAGGCAGACAGACAGACAGGCAGUGUGUGUGCUGAGGCACCUGUCAGGGGCCAGUGAGUGCGUCAGGACGGCUCUGUCUCCCCGCCCCCCAUCCUGUCCGUCGUAGAAUGCAGCCCAGCAGCUUCCCAGAGCUGCGUUUACCUCAGUCCUACUGCUUGACACGGCUUGUCCUUAGUGAAGAGGAGGAAGGAGGAGGGAGAAGGGAGAAGGAUGAAGAGGACGAAAAGGCUGCUUGGUUAAGUCCUGUUCUGGUGUCAGUCUCUCGUCGUGUGCCCAAACCUGUGCUCCGGGCUGGGCCACCACUUUCGAGGGACGUCUCAGAGGACAGGAGCUGGCCAGGUGGCGACUCCCCAUGGACACAGGCUCUGACCAAAGGCAUCUGCAUCCGGCCCCGUCCCAGACAGCUCCCGUGCUGCCCACCAGCCGCUCCACUGCUUCAGCAGCAGUUUUGUGAUGACUCUUUGCUCUGAAACGUGCAGGCUUCUUGCUGAAAACAGUCCGUUGGCCCUCCUUCAGUCAGCAUGCCCGUGGACCCUGAGCAGCUGCAGGCUCUCACUGACUCACACGACGGCCUCACAGGUCUUGUUCUUGGUCCUCUGCGUCCCUCCCCUCGCCUCACUUUUGUCCUGAGACCUCUGGGCUGUUCUUUAAAUAAAGGUUCUGUAGAAGCACC